GAGAGCCCUCUAUUGGGUUCUCA
rnacentral:snRNA from 1 species